GAUGACUAGGGGAUCUGAGAGGAUGAUCCCCCACACUGGUACUGAGACACGGACCAGACUCCUACGGGAGGCAGCAGUAAGGAAUAUUGGUCAAUGGGGGCAACCCUGAACCAGCCAUGCCGCGUGCAGGAAGACGGCCCUACGGGUUGUAAACUGCUUUUAUACGGGAAUAAUUCCCCAUUCGUGAAUGGGGUUGAAUGUACUGUAAGAAUAAGGAUCGGCUAACUCCGUGCCAGCAGCCGCGGUAAUACGGAGGAUCCAAGCGUUAUCCGGAUUUAUUGGGUUUAAAGGGUGCGUAGGCGGCCUAUUAAGUCAGGGGUGAAAGACGGUGGCUCAACCAUCGCAGUGCCUUUGAUACUGAUAGGCUAGAUUACACUAGAGGUAGGCGGAAUGUGACAAGUAGCGGUGAAAUGCAUAGAUAUGUCACAGAACACCGAUUGCGAAGGCAGCUUACUAUGGUGUCAAUGACGCUGAGGCACGAAAGCGUGGGGAUCAAACAGGAUUAGAUACCCUGGUAGUCCACGCCCUAAACGAUGAAUACUCGAUGUUAGCGAUAUACAGUUAGCGUCAAAGCGAAAGCGUUAAGUAUUCCACCUGGGGAGUACGCCCGCAAGGGUGAAACUCAAAGGAAUUGACGGGGGCCCGCACAAGCGGAGGAGCAUGUGGUUUAAUUCGAUGAUACGCGAGGAACCUUACCCGGGCUUGAAAGUUAGUGAAUGGAUCAGAGAUGAUUCAGUGAGCAAUCACACGAAACUAGGUGCUGCAUGGCUGUCGUCAGCUCGUGCCGUGAGGUGUUGGGUUAAGUCCCGCAACGAGCGCAACCCCUAUGUUUAGUUGCCAGCACGUUAAGGUGGGGACUCUAAACAGACUGCCUGUGCAAACAGAGAGGAAGGAGGGGACGACGUCAAGUCAUCAUGGCCCUUACGUCCGGGGCUACACACGUGCUACAAUGGAUGGUACAGAGGGCAGCUACUUCGCAAGGGACGCCAAUCUCAAAAAGCCAUUCACAGUUCGGAUAGAGGUCUGCAACUCGACCUCUUGAAGUUGGAUUCGCUAGUAAUCGCAGAUCAGCAAUGCUGCGGUGAAUACGUUCCCGGGCCUUGUACACACCGCCCGUCAAGCCAUGGAAGCUGGGGGUACCUGAAGUACGUAACCGCAAGGAGCGUCCUAGGGUAAAACCGGUAACUGGGGCUAAGUCGUAACAAGGUA
rnacentral:rRNA from 1 species